CACGUAGGGCGCGAGCGUUGUCCGGAAUUAUUGGGCGUAAAGAGCUCGUAGGCGGCCUGUUGCGUCCGCUAGUGAAAGCCCGGGGCUUAACCCCCGGGUCGGCAGUGGAUACGGGCAGGCUAGAGGUAGGUAGGGGAGAAUGGAAUUCCCGGUGUAGCGGUGAAAUGCGCAGAUAUCGGGAGGAACACCGGUGCGAAGGCGGUUCUCUGGGCCUUACCUGACGCUGAGGAGCGAAAGCGUGGGGAGC
rnacentral:rRNA from 1 species